rnacentral:rRNA from 1 species
AUUGAACGCUGGCGGCAGGCCUAACACAUGCAAGUCGAGCGGUAACACAGGGAGCUUGCUCCCGGGUGACGAGCGGCGGACGGGUGAGUAAUGUCUGGGAAACUGCCUGAUGGAGGGGGAUAACUACUGGAAACGGUAGCUAAUACCGCAUAAUGUCGCAAGACCAAAGAGGGGGACCUUCGGGCCUCUUGCCAUCAGAUGUGCCCAGAUGGGAUUAGCUAGUAGGUGGGGUAACGGCUCACCUAGGCGACGAUCCCUAGCUGGUCUGAGAGGAUGACCAGCCACACUGGAACUGAGACACGGUCCAGACUCCUACGGGAGGCAGCAGUGGGGAAUAUUGCACAAUGGGCGCAAGCCUGAUGCAGCCAUGCCGCGUGUAUGAAGAAGGCCUUCGGGUUGUAAAGUACUUUCAGCGGGGAGGAAGGUGUUGAGGUUAAUAACCUCAGCAAUUGACGUUACCCGCAGAAGAAGCACCGGCUAACUCCGUGCCAGCAGCCGCCGUAACAC